UUCGGGUUAGCGGCGAACGGGUGAGUAACACGUGGGCAACCUGCCCCGAGCUCUGGGAUAACCCCGGGAAACCGGGGCUAAUACCGGAUACGACAUCGACAGACAUCUGUCGAUGUGGAAAGUUUUUCGGCUCGGGAUGGGCCCGCGGCCUAUCAGCUUGUUGGUGAGGUAACGGCCCACCAAGGCGACGACGGGUAGCCGGCCUGAGAGGGCGACCGGCCACACUGGGACUGAGACACGGCCCAG
rnacentral:rRNA from 1 species